GACCAAUGAUCUAAACACUUAAGAGAUAUUUUUAUUAACCAUAUGAUAGAACUCUGCCAUCGUCAGCAAGCAGGAGACAGAGGAUCAAGUGAUGAUCACAGGUUGAGGCAGAGACGAUAUGCUGGGAUGAAGACAGACAACUGGAAAGGAUUUGAUGAACAGGUAGGUAGAACAGGUAAGUUGAUGCACACUAGUGAACAACAAUCCUGCAUUCAAAUCCUCCUGGGAAGCCUGUACUUGUGAGUUGACAAGUCAAAGUUACGACAUCAGGACCAGACACUGAGGUGGGGAAGGUGGCUAAAUACUGAGACUGAUAAGUGUUGACAGGUGGUCAGAUGAAAUUGCAGUAAGAUUGAUUGCUGAUAUAGAGAGGACUGUUAAAAAUGUUUCUGUCAGUCUGGAGAUCCUCACAGAACCAGUCAGUCCCAUCAAGGUUUCAGCAUCAUCUAUGCAAUAUCAAUGGGCAGUUGAGCCCAAACCCCAGUUCUGCCUUGUGUUUUCUGUGGGCCUGGAUUUCAGGAUGUUUAUCAUCUUGGCCAAUGCUGUCUCUGGAAAGGGAAGGGGAAGGAGAUUGUGCACAUGUGACAUUUGAAGUAUUUUCCCACAGCUGAGGAUGGUUAACUGUUUUCGGGGGCUCCAGUAUUACCAAGAAUCUGUGUUUGAACUGGUAGUUUCAACAGACGGGAUCACACACUAGCGUGUGCUUGUACCCUCCCACGUAAACACGCACAUGCACACAGAUAAAUCUGGACAAACUAUCUAGUGACUUCAUCCUUUAAGUCGUUUCUAUCUCUCUCUAGACUGGUCUUUGUGUGGUUUGUCAUGCCUCUUGCCCUUCAGUUUCCACAUUACUCUUUUGAAGUCAAAAUCUGAAAGAAUUACUCAGAAUUUAGUUCACUGGGUAGGACUGGAUUUUAAUGAUAGCCUUUACUAUCAGAGAGUAAAAAUGCAUAAUUUCUUAUGAGACAGUGCAACAAUGCAUGACAUUUUUAAGGUGUUGAGCCCAAUUUUGACAGUAUGUUAUAGUUAAAGAAUUCCUUAUUCUCAAAUGAAUGUUUA